UGCGGAAUUUUAGAUAAUGGAGGGAACUCUGAUCUAGCGACGCCGCGUGCAGGAAGAAGGUCUUCGGAUUGUAAACUGCUGUGGUAAGGGAAAAAUGCUAUGUAGAGUGGAAAGCUACAUAGAGGGAUGGUACCUUACUAGAAAGCCCCGGCUAACUACGUGCCAGCAGCCGCGGUAAUACGUAGGGGGCGAGCGUUACCCGGAAUCACUGGGCGUAAAGGGAGCGUAGGUGGCCUAACAUGUCAACUGUGAAAACCCGGAGCUCAACUCCGGACAUGCAGUUGAAACUGGUAGGCUUGAGGACGGUAGAGGAAGACGGAACUGCCAGUGUAGGGGUAAAAUCCUUAGAUAUUGGCAGGAACGCCGGUGACGAAGGGGGUUUUCUGGGCCGGUUCUGACGCUGAUGCUCGAAAGCCAGGGGAGCGAACGG
rnacentral:rRNA from 1 species